AUUGAACGCUGGCGGCAGGCUUAACACAUGCAAGUCGAACGAUGAUUAUCUAGCUUGCUAGAUAUGAUUAGUGGCGGACGGGUGAGUAACAUUUAGGAAUCUGCCUAGUAGUGGGGGAUAGCUCGGGGAAACUCGAAUUAAUACCGCAUACGACCUACGGGUGAAAGGGGGCGCAAGCUCUUGCUAUUAGAUGAGCCUAAAUCAGAUUAGCUAGUUGGUGGGGUAAAGGCCCACCAAGGCGACGAUCUGUAACUGGUCUGAGAGGAUGAUCAGUCACACCGGAACUGAGACACGGUCCGGACUCCUACGGGAGGCAGCAGUGGGGAAUAUUGGACAAUGGGGGCAACCCUGAUCCAGCCAUGCCGCGUGUGUGAAGAAGGCCUUUUGGUUGUAAAGCACUUUAAGCAGGGAGGAGAGGCUAAUGGUUAAUACCCAUUAGAUUAGACGUUACCUGCAGAAUAAGCACCGGCUAACUCUGUGCCAGCAGCCGCGGUAAUACAGAGGGUGCGAGCGUUAAUCGGAAUUACUGGGCGUAAAGCGAGUGUAGGUGGCUCAUUAAGUCACAUGUGAAAUCCCCGGGCUUAACCUGGGAACUGCAUGUGAUACUGGUGGUGCUAGAAUAUGUGAGAGGGAAGUAGAAUUCCAGGUGUAGCGGUGAAAUGCGUAGAGAUCUGGAGGAAUACCGAUGGCGAAGGCAGCUUCCUGGCAUAAUAUUGACACUGAGAUUCGAAAGCGUGGGUAGCAGACAGGAUUAGAUACCCUGGUAGUCCACGCCGUAAACGAUGUCUACUAGCCGUUGGGGUCCUUGAGACUUUAGUGGCGCAGUUAACGCGAUAAGUAGACCGCCUGGGGAGUACGGCCGCAAGGUUAAAACUCAAAUGAAUUGACGGGGGCCCGCACAAGCGGUGGAGCAUGUGGUUUAAUUCGAUGCAACGCGAAGAACCUUACCUGGUCUUGACAUAGUGAGAAUCCUGCAGAGAUGCGGGAGUGCCUUCGGGAAUUCACAUACAGGUGCUGCAUGGCUGUCGUCAGCUCGUGUCGUGAGAUGUUGGGUUAAGUCCCGCAACGAGCGCAACCCUUUUCCUUAUUUGCCAGCGGGUUAAGCCGGGAACUUUAAGGAUACUGCCAGUGACAAACUGGAGGAAGGCGGGGACGACGUCAAGUCAUCAUGGCCCUUACGACCAGGGCUACACACGUGCUACAAUGGUAGGUACAGAGGGUUGCUACACAGCGAUGUGAUGCUAAUCUCAAAAAGCCUAUCGUAGUCCGGAUUGGAGUCUGCAACUCGACUCCAUGAAGUCGGAAUCGCUAGUAAUCGCGGAUCAGAAUGCCGCGGUGAAUACGUUCCCGGGCCU
rnacentral:rRNA from 1 species